UGUAUAAUGGGUCAGCGACUUAUAUUCUGUAGCAAGGUUAACCGAAUAGGGGAGCCGAAGGGAAACCGAGUCUUAACUGGGCGUUAAGUUGCAGGGUAUAGACCCGAAACCCGGUGAUCUAGCCAUGGGCAGGUUGAAGGUUGGGUAACACUAACUGGAGGACCGAACCGACUAAUGUUGAAAAAUUAGCGGAUGACUUGUGGCUGGGGGUGAAAGGCCAAUCAAACCGGGAGAUAGCUGGUUCUCCCCGAAAGCUAUUUAGGUAGCGCCUCGUGAAUUCAUCUCCGGGGGUAGAGCACUGUUUCGGCAAGGGGGUCAUCCCGACUUACCAACCCGAUGCAAACUGCGAAUACCGGAGAAUGUUAUCACGGGAGACACACGGCGGGUGCUAACGUCCGUCGUGAAGAGGGAAACAACCCAGACCGCCAGCUAAGGUCCCAAAGUCAUGGUUAAGUGGGAAACGAUGUGGGAAGGCCCAGACAGCCAGGAUGUUGGCUUAGAAGCAGCCAUCAUUUAAAGAAAGCGUAAUAGCUCACUGGUCGAGUCGGCCUGCGCGGAAGAUGUAACGGGGCUAAACCAUGCACCGAAGCUGCGGCAGCGACACUAUGUGUUGUUGGGUAGGGGAGCGUUCUGUAAGCCUGCGAAGGUGUACUGUGAGGUAUGCUGGAGGUAUCAGAAGUGCGAAUGCUGACAUAAGUAACGAUAAAGCGGGUGAAAAGCCCGCUCGCCGGAAGACCAAGGGUUCCUGUCCAACGUUAAUCGGGGCAGGGUGAGUCGACCCCUAAGGCGAGGCCGAAAGGCGUAGUCGAUGGGAAACAGGUUAAUAUUCCUGUACUUGGUGUUACUGCGAAGGGGGGACGGAGAAGGCUAUGUUGGCCGGGCGACGGUUGUCCCGGUUUAAGCGUGUAGGCUGGUUUUCCAGGCAAAUCCGGAAAAUCAAGGCUGAGGCGUGAUGACGAGGCACUACGGUGCUGAAGCAACAAAUGCCCUGCUUCCAGGAAAAGCCUCUAAGCAUCAGGUAACAUCAAAUCGUACCCCAAACCGACACAGGUGGUCAGGUAGAGAAUACCAAGGCGCUUGAGAGAACUCGGGUGAAGGAACUAGGCAAAAUGGUGCCGUAACU
rnacentral:rRNA from 1 species